UACGUAGGGUGCGAGCGUUAAUCGGAAUUACUGGGCGUAAAGCGCGCGCAGGCGGUUUCUUAAGUCAGAUGUGAAAGCCCCGGGCUUAACCUGGGAACUGCGUUUGAAACUGGGAGACUUGAGUGUGGCAGAGGGGGGUGGAAUUCCACGUGUAGCAGUGAAAUGCGUAGAUAUCGUAAGGAAGACCAGUGGCGAAGGCGGGUCUCUGGACAGUUCCUGACGCUGAGGCACGAAGGCCAGGGGAGCAAACGGG
rnacentral:rRNA from 1 species